rnacentral:lncRNA from 1 species
GGACAGCACAGAGGAGCGCGGGGUUCAGAGGAGGCUCCGCCCCAGGACGCCCUCCUGACCGCGCCCCAAGCCCGCCCCGGGGGGCCCCCGGCUCCGGGCCUCUCUGCCAGGUUCCGGACAGAGGUCCACAGCAGCCAGGCGAGCCAAAAAUAGCGUGUUGCUGCGGAAAACGAACACCGACUUACCAGCUCGGGUGUCAGCAGCUGAAGACUCACAGCCCCAUAUCCAUCAAGCCGUGACCGACCCAGGAGAGCUCUGCGGAAGAGAAGACAGCAGCUCCUCCCCAGUCUUCGGUCUCCCCGGGGCAGAACCGGCUUCCCACCUGGACAGAGGCAGGACUCGCCUUUCCCACCUGUUGGGAAGCUCAUUUCCAGCCAAUUCCAGCUCAGACCGGCCUAGAACCUUGCGGUGACCCUGCUGUCUCUCCCCGUGGCCCAACCCAGCGCUCUCUCAGCCGCCAGUUUUGGCCUGAUCGAACUAAAUCUCAUUUUAUAUUUUAACACCACUUGCAGGUUAGAAAGCACUGCGAAGUGUAGAC